rnacentral:rRNA from 1 species
GACGAACGCUGGCGGCGUGCUUAACACAUGCAAGUCGAACGGAAAGGCCCCUUCGGGGGUACUCGAGUGGCGCACGGGCGCGUAACACGUUCGUAACUUGCCCUUGACUUCUGGUUUACUUCAUUAAACUGGGUCUAAUACGUGAUAGGAAUAAUUUCUUCAUGGUUGGGGGUGGAAAGCUUUGGUGGUCUUGGGUGGACUUGCGGCUUACUAGUCUGGUGGUGGGGUAGUGGCUUACCAAGGCCUUGGCUGGUAGCCGGCCUGAGAGGGGGACCGGCCACCUUGGGACCGAGAGCCGGCCCCGACUCCUACCGGGGGCAACAGUGGGGAAUCAUGCCCAAUGGGCCGGAGCCCGAUGCAGCAACGCCGCGUGCCGGAAGACCGCCUUCGGGUUGGAAACCGCUUUCAGCAGGUGCGAAGCUUGUGGUGACGGUACCUGCUGAAGAAGCACCGGCUAACUACGUG